GAACACAAAAUGGCGACACGUGGUUAGCAUUCGUCGCCAACGAGAAAUUGGGGUCGGCCCGAAAGCUCUAGAAUGCACCCCCCUUCUUCCCCGGGGCCUUCCACCUCCGCGAGUUUUAUGACUUAAAAAACCCCACAGGCUGGUCUGAAGAGGAAGACAAACAUAAAGAUGAAGUGCUUAAUUCAAGGUCACACAAUGUCGGGGAUGGACCUCCAGAUUUCCUUACUGGAAAACAAGCUCAGGGCUCCCACUGAUUGUACAUUAUGAGACGGAGUCUUGCUAUGUUGCCCAGGCUGGUCUUGAACUCCUCACCUCAAGCGAUCCUCUCGUCUUGGCCUCCCAAGUGUCAGGAUUACAGGCAUGUGCUAUCACACCCAACCUGAUACAUUGCCUUUAUAAAUUUUUUUUUCUUUAUUCUAAAAACCAGAAAAAACAAAACUGGAUACAUGUGCAGAACAUGCAGGUGAGACGUGGUCUUGUAACACAGUGGUUAAGAAUGUGACUUUGGAGCCAGCCUGCUAGGGGCUGAAUUCUGACUCAGCCAUUUACUAACUG
rnacentral:antisense_RNA from 1 species